GCAUAACGCGAAGAACCUUACCCAGGCUUGACAUCCUGUUAAUUUCUCCGAAAGGAGAGAGUGCCUUCGGGCCGCAGUGACAGGUGAUGCAUGGCCGUCGUCAGCUCGUGUCGUGAGAUGUUUGGUUAAGUCCAUCAACGAGCGCAACCCUUAUGAGUAGUUGUAUUUCUCUACUCAGACUGCCCUGGUAACAGGGAGGAAGGAGGGGAUGAUGUCAGGUCAGUAUCUCCCUUACGUCUGGGGCUACAAACACGCUACAAUGGCCGGUACAAAGGGCAGCCAACCCGCGAGGGGGAGCAAAUCCCAUCAAAGCCGGUCUCAGUUCGGAUUGUAGGCUGAAACUCGCCUGCAUGAAGCUGGAAUCGCUAGUAAUGGUAGGUCAGCACACUACCGUGAAUACGUUCCCGGGUCUUGUACACACCG
rnacentral:rRNA from 1 species